CCGACUUUAGCUCAGUUGGAAGAGCAUCAGACUGUAAUUGGAUAACCCGAUAUCUGGUGGUCGCCUGUUCGAACCAGGCAAGUCGGA